rnacentral:rRNA from 1 species
GUGAGGAAUUUUCCGCAAUGGGCGAAAGCCUGACGGAGCAAUGCCGCGUGAAGGAUGAAGGCCUAUGGGUUGUAAACUUCUUUUCUUAGAGAAGAAUAUUGACGGUAUCUGAGGAAUAAGCAUCGGCUAACUCUGUGCCAGCAGCCGCGGUAAGACAGAGGAUGCAAGCGUUAUCCGGAAUGAUUGGGCGUAAAGCGUCUGUAGGUGGCUUCAAAAGUCUCCUGUCAAAGAUCAGGACUUAACCCUGGGCCGGAAUGAGAAACUCUGAGGCUAGAGUUUGGUAGGGGCAGAGGGAAUUCCCGGUGGGGCGGUGAAAUGCGUAGAGAUCGGGAGGAACACCAAAGGCGAAAGCACUCUGCUGGGCCACAACUGACACUGAGAGACGAAAGCGAGGGGAGCAAAAGGGGUUAGAAACCCUUGUAGUCC